GAUGAACGCUAGCUACAGGCUUAACACAUGCAAGUCGAGGGGAAACGGCAUUGAGUGCUUGCACUCUUUGGACGUCGACCGGCGCACGGGUGAGUAACGCGUAUCCAACCUUCCCAUUACUGUGGGAUAACCUGCCGAAAGGCUGACUAAUACCGCAUAGUCUUCGAUGACGGCAUCAGAUUUGAAGUAAAGAUUUAUCGGUAAUGGAUGGGGAUGCGUCUGAUUAGCUUGUUGGCGGGGUAACGGCCCACCAAGGCUACGAUCAGUAGGGGUUCUGAGAGGAAGGUCCCCCACAUUGGAACUGAGACACGGUCCAAACUCCUACGGGAGGCAGCAGUGGGGAAUAUUGGCCAAUGGACGGAAGUCUGAACCAGCCAAGUAGCGUGCAGGAGGACGGCCCUAUGGGUUGUAAACUGCUUUUGUAUGGGGAUAAAGUUAGGGACGUGUCCCUAUUUGCAGGUACCAUACGAAUAAGGACCGGCUAAUUCCGUG
rnacentral:rRNA from 1 species